rnacentral:rRNA from 1 species
AACGACUCUCGGCAACGGAUAUCUCGGCUCUCGCAUCGAUGAAGAACGUAGCGAAAUGCGAUACUUGGUGUGAAUUGCAGAAUCCCGUGAACCAUCGAGUCUUUGAACGCAAGUUGCACCCAAAGCCUUCCGGCCGAGGGCACGUCUGCCUGGGCGUCACGC